UUAAAAAUGAUAAUGGAAAAAAGUAAUUUGGUAUAAUCUAAAAGAGAGAACAAAUACCCGAGGCUGAAAGUAUUUGUCUAGAAGACCAAAUGAACAUUCACUUCCGUAGUUGACUUUGGAAUUUACGUUAGGUAAUGAAAAAAGAUCCGGUAUACGCCGUUAUGUAAAUGAAGUGUAGAUUUAAGCUUGGUUUAAAUCUAAACAAGGGUGGUACCGCGAUAUGUAGCCUCGUCCCUUUU
rnacentral:ncRNA from 1 species